rnacentral:rRNA from 1 species
CAUGGAGGGUGAGAAUCCCGUUCAUGGUUAAUUCUAAGAUGCUUUAUGAUGCGUUUUCGAAGAGUCGAGUUGUUUGGGAUUGCAGCUCAAAAUGGGAGGUAAAUUUCUCCUAAGGCUAAAUAUUGGCGAGAGACCGAUAGCGAACAAGUACCGUGAGGGAAAGAUGAAAAGAACUUUGAAAAGAGAGUUAAACAGUACGUGAAAUUGUUGAAAGGGAAACGAUUGAAGUCAGUCGUACCAGCGGGAAAUCAACCUUUCGAGUGGGGGUUUGGAGUUUUGAAGUGUGUCAAAACCUUUGAGAUUUCAAAAUUUUCGCUCUUUUGGUGUACUUUCUCGUAGGUAGGUUAACAUCGAUUUUGAUCAUCAUAAAAAGAUUGGAGGAAUGUAGCUUCGAUCUCGUAUUGAAGUGUUAUAGCCUUUGGUAAAUGUGAUGAUUAGGAUCGAGGAUUGCAACGAAUACCCUUUUGGGCUAUCCGCCUGAUCUCUGAUACGUGACCUUGGUAUCGAAAGCGUGCUUAUGGUAUUAAGGUAUUACGGUCAAAAGGUUAGAACGGAUUACAUUCGUUAAGGAUGUUGACGUAAUGG